UAAGUAAUAUUAAUGUAAGAGUAAUUUGACUUACAGGGACCGUUGAUGACACACUUGCUGGAACGCCUCAGGUCAAGAAUAAGUGGCCUUUUAGAUGUCCAUCAGAUGGACUUGGACUAUUUUCAAUAUGUUGUCAAUCAAAAAGUGUUUAUUUUAUCAUCAGCCUCCACCAUUUUUGAUGUGCCAAGUGAUAUUUUGGAGACCCUCAUGGAUCUACAACAAAAAAUUAGUGCAGCUCUUUCCCAAGAGGUGACCCCGGUUCUUACGAGGGAAUGUGGUGGUGGACGAGGUCGACCUAAGUUUACCGUUUCCGAGGAAAUGCUGUCCCGGCUCAUUGAGAUGACACCGAAUUGGAUAAUGCCAUUUUGGCCAUCAAAAGAAGACUACCAAAUGCUGGAUAUAGGAUGAUGAAAGGCUGCCUGCAAGCAGAUGGUCAUAGAGUUCAGUGGAACCGCAUAAAAGGAUCCAUGCACAGAGUGGAUGCCCCUGGAAUUUUGGAAAGGAUGACACAGCUGGGGUGUAUCGUCAGGAGGUCAUAUUUUGUUCAAAGUCCAUUGUCCUUAGUCCACAUCGACACGAAUCACAAGCUCAUAAGGUACAACAUCAUCAUAUUCGGUGGGAUAGAUGGGUUCUCACGAAAGAUAAUGUACUUGGAACCAGCAACAAACAACCGUUCAAGCACUGCCUUAUCAUUCUUUCUCCAGUCUGUGCAAAAGCAUGGCUGGCC